rfam:Prunus persica cultivar Lovell chromosome G4, whole genome shotgun sequence.
CACCGCCCGUCGCUCCUACCGAUUGAAUGGUCCGGUUAAGUGUUCAGAUCGCGGCGACGUGGGUGGUUCUCUGCCCGCGACGUCGCGAGAAGUCCACUGAACCUUAUCAUUUAGAGGAAGGAGAAGUCGUAACAAGGUUUCCGUAGGUGAACUUGCGGAAG